UGGGGGAUAUUGCACAAUGGGCGAAAGCCUGAUGCAGCGACGCCGCGUGGGGGAUGAAGGCCUUCGGGUUGUAAACUUCUUUUGCUCUGAACAAGGCAUGCUAAUGGGUGUGUUGAGUGUAGGGGUUGAUUAGCGCCGGCUAACUACGUGCCAGCAGCCGCGGUAAUACGUAGGGCGCGAGCGUUGUCCGGAAUUAUUGGGCGGAAAGGGCUUGUAGGUGGCUGGUUGCGUCUGUCGUGAAAGCUCAUGGCUUAACUGUGGGUUUGCGGUGGAUACGGGCUGGCUUGAGUGCAGUAGGGGAGGCUGGAAUUCCUGGUGUAGCGGUGGAAUGCGCAGAUAUCAGGAGGAAUACCGGUGGCGAAGGCGGGUCUCUGGGCUGUAACUGACACUGAGGAGCGAAAGCAUGGGGAGCGAACAGG
rnacentral:rRNA from 1 species